UAUGUAUAUAUAUAUAUGUCUGUCCAUAAGUAUUAAGACGUUUAUAAAAGGUUAAGUUGUGUAAUAAAAUGAACGAUUACUAGGGAAUUAUUAAAGUCUUUAACAAAUCUCAUUUGAAAUCCUACGCUUAAAAGAACUCAUGCACUCAAUAUUAUAAUAACACCAGUUACGUACAAUUCGAUUAAAUUCCUUCUUUACUUAUAUUCCUCGUGUCUUUCUUUAAGGGUUUCAGCCAAUCUCGGCAUUCAUAUCUAUUCAGAUAUGUAUAAUUUUAUGUGCUGGACUAGAUUGACCGCGUAGUAGUGAUACAUGUAUGUGAAUAUGAGUGUAUGGAAGUAUGUGUGUGCGCGGCGCCUCGGAAACAAAGGAAUGUAAACUGUUCAGUUAACAGUCUGAUAUGGAGGAAGGUGGGACGCGUGCAAGUGUGUAUCGAUGGAUAUCUUUGAAAUCGUUUAUCAAAUAAAUAUGUAACUAUUCUAAUAUAAAUUCUAAGUGUAAAUUUAGUGUUCCUAUACCGUUAUUUCGGUAAUUAAGGUCCAAAAUUCUCAACGAUAUCACUGGUCUUCUUACGGUAUUUGUCACUUUUCGAUCCGACGAAUUCUGUAAAUGAUUUUGCAUAUUUAGUUUCCUGAUAGAGUAGAUCAAUUAUUAUGUUCUUUACGAGACCAGCUGAUGUCCCCUUGUGUAUUUACGAACGGGAAUUUAUACACGUGAUGCCGCAAUGAAAACCAUAACUUGGUUAAACGUACUGAUAUUCAACAUCGAAUAACGAAUGAAAUAAUACUCGAGUUUUAUCUGGCUGACAAAUUGACCCCUGACCAGGGAUGGUAAUACGAGCCUCGUUAACGGACGAAAAGAGACGAAUAUUCCAUGGAAAUGGUAUCGUAUUCGAAUUAAUAUGCAACGAUUUCUUGGAUAAACGGAAGAACAGAGGAUGAUUAAAUUGAUAUCGCGGUGGUGAUUUUUCUUACCGGAUUCCAGCUUGAAUAUAUGCAUGAAGGAUCAUAGGGAGGACGAUGAGACGAAGAUUUUUUCCCUGAUAAUCGAGAAACGCUCGAGGAAAUAGUAUAAACGCAGCCGGCCAAGACGAAAAGGAAGGGAGAAAAAGGGAACGAGUGGAAACGGUUGGUCGAUGGAGAAAGAGAAGAAAGGGAAGACCAGGCAACAAAGGCCGCGGAAUGGCUAGGAAAGUGUAUGUAGACGGCGCGGCGGAAAGAAGAAUGGUGCACGAAAACGACGGCAGGAUGAAUGUCCUUAUGGUCGAGCUGCGAUGGACAAAUAAAAGAUAAAAGAUAAGGAUCUCCGAAUAACAGAAUUAUUGUAUCACCAAGAGAGUGCUGAUCCAAGUGACAAUUUAACUUGUACUUCCCGGUUAACAAGUUAGUGUUUGCGGAACAAUCACAAGCAGACAAACUUCCGACAACGUUGAUUCGCAUUACACGAGCUAUGUCUUCAUACAACUCGUGUAAACGGGAAAUAAAGGCGAGUCUGUGUCUGGUAAGAAUCCAAAGCUCGCCGCAGCCGACCGAUGAAUUCCCAGGUAUUAUCUCAACAAUUUUUCUUUCCUUUUGUUUGCGCCGUUAUAUCCGAAGAUUACAAGCAUUUGCGAAUCCUCGUUACCUCAAAUUGAGAAAAAAGCGGCUGCUUUACUCCAUUUUACACUUGUUUCCUUCAUUUCGCCGAAUAUACUGCCACGGGAGGUGACAAUUUUCGUUUCCCAUUUUUUCAACUAAAACGCUUGUAAUCGUACUAAAUUCUCGUUUACGAAUUGCACGUUGCACGCGCUUCGCAAGCGAGACAAAUUGCACGAAAUAUAUUUCGGAAUUAUGGCUGGAACGUGUUGGAACGAUGGAAACGCGGAGACUCGGGAGAUCUUGCCAUCGGCAAGAUGAACGACAAACGGCCUUUAAAGCCGCCGUCAUAAGACGAAGUUAGUUCGGCGGAACGCGUAUUGAGGUGGCUAAGCUCGUUCAACUAACUAAUAUGUACGAUAACUGCGCGUGGGUGGUACAUUAUCGCUGCGCUGGAAAUGAGGACGAAUAGGUACGAUCACGUGUCGAAAGUACGUUAUCGACUUCUGGAAGUCGAGUACAUACGAGUCAGACCAGGUGAAAAAAAAAAAAAAGGAGCGGAAAAGCGAACCGAUCGACUCCUGGCUGCAGAAACGUAUGUUCUAACGAAUAGUCCGGGGAAUUUAUGUUUUCAAGGGAAACGCAAUUCGUGAUAAAAAGUUGUUUCAGUGGGAUACGCUAGAAUGUACUAAUUGGAUGCUUAUUCGUUGUAGUAUCAGCUCAGAAGUGUAUACAUUCGAGUAUGGAAAAAUAUUUCUGAAUUCAGCGUAUACCGGAAAGUAUUUCAAAGUUGUUUCACAAAUAAAUAUUUCUGACGUCGAAUUGUCAAGGAACAAGUAAAAAGUUGAUCAAUUGGUGAUCAAAUUGUAGGAUAUAGAUAAUAGUUUUGUAUCGACUUUGAAGAUAAUUUAAUUUCGUCGUAUAUAUAGUAAACGUGAGAAGAUAAGUGAAUUAAGUUAAUAAUCAAAUAAUGUUACGAACGAUAAGAAAACAGCAGAUUGACAAUUUAAUAAUUGUCACAGUUGCCGGCAGAAUUCUUUAUAGAAUGGAAAAAGCGGUAGGAUGGAUAAUAGGAUUUUUCAGCAUUCGUUGUAUUAUUCCACCGCAUACGUAUGCAUAUGACCCAUUGUAUAUUUUGUGAAAUGUUGUAGAAUUCGUUACGACGCGGCAUCUCUUACGAAAAUAAAAAUCAUAAUUAACAAAUGCGCCUGGUGCUAUACUUCCCACGCGACAUUGUCACGUAGUAUACACCUUGCGUCGUAUAAAAUCCACGCAACCCAAAUUCCAUUGAAUGCAAUUAUCACACUUAUUGUAGCCGUAUAACCAACUGUAUAAUAAACUAACAAUGUAAGUGCAUGCAUUCUGAAUGCAUUGUAUUUUCUAUCCAUAGAAUCAAACAGAAUUUGACAGUAAUCACGUAGUACUGUCGAUAACAAAAUAUACGAAACUCUACGUUUGCAAAUUAGUGUGUUUAACGAUAUUAUUGCUCAUUAGGAACCUAAU